rnacentral:sRNA from 1 species
UUGAAGGCACAUAAAUUAUGGUCGAA